CCUACGGGAGUCAGCAGUGAGGAAUAUUGGUCAAUGGACGAGAGUCUGAACCAGCCAAGUAGCGUGAAGGAUGACUGCCCUAUGGGUUGUAAACUUCUUUUAUAUGGGAAUAAAACGUUCCACGUGUGGGAUUUUGUAUGUACCAUAUGAAUAAGGAUCGGCUAACUCCGUGCCAGCAGCCGCGGUAAUACGGAGGAUCCGAGCGUUAUCCGGAUUUAUUGGGUUUAAGGGGAGCGUAGGUGGAUUGUUAAGUCAGUUGUGAAAGUUUGCGGCUCAACCGUAAAAUUGCAGUUGAAACUGGCAGUCUUGAGUACAGUAGAGGUGGGCGGAAUUCGUGGUGUAGCGGUGAAAUGCUUAGAUAUCACGAAGAACUCCGAUUGCGAAGGCAGUUCACUGGACUGCAACUGACACUGAGGCUCGAAAGUGUGGGUAUCAAACAGGAUUAGAUACCCCAGUAGUC
rnacentral:rRNA from 1 species